CCUACGGGAGGCAGCAGUGAGGAAUAUUGGUCAAUGGACGCGAGUCUGAACCAGCCAAGUAGCGUGAAGGAUGACUGCCCUAUGGGUUGUAAACUUCUUUUAUAUGGGAAUAAAAUGUUCCACGUGUGGGAUUUUGUAUGUACCAUAUGAGUAAGGAUCGGCUAACUCCGUGCCAGCAGCUGCGGUACUACGGAGGAUCCGAGCGUUAUCCGGAUUUGUAGGGUUUAAAGGGAGCGCAGGUGGAUUGUUAAGUCAGUUGUGAAAGUUUGCGGCUCAACCGUAAAAUUGCAGUUGAAACUGGCAGUCUUGAGUACAGUAGAGGUGGGCGGAAUUCGUGGUGUAGCGGUGAAAUGCUUAGAGAUCACGAAGAACUCCGAUGGCGAAGGCAGUUCACUGGACUGCAACUGACACUGAGGCUCGAAAGUGUGGGUAUCAAACAGGAUUAGAUACCCCUGUAGUC
rnacentral:rRNA from 1 species